rnacentral:rRNA from 1 species
AACGAACGCUGGCGGCAGGCUUAACACAUGCAAGUCGAGCGCCCCGCAAGGGGAGCGGCAGACGGGUGAGUAACACGUGGGAAUCUACCCAUCACUAGGGAAUAACUCAGGGAAACUUGUGCUAAUACCCUAUACGACCGAGAGGUGAAAGAUUUAUCGGUGAUGGAUGAGCCCGCGUUGGAUUAGCUAGUUGGUGGGGUAAAGGCCUACCAAGGCGACGAUCCAUAGCUGGUCUGAGAGGAUGAUCAGCCACACUGGGACUGAGACACGGCCCAGACUCCUACGGGAGGCAGCAGUGGGGAAUAUUGGACAAUGGGCGCAAGCCUGAUCCAGCCAUGCCGCGUGAGUGAUGAAGGUCUUAGGAUUGUAAAGCUCUUUCACCGGUGAAGAUAAUGACGGUAACCGGAGAAGAAGCCCCGGCUAACUUCGUGCCAGCAGCCGCCGUAACAC